rnacentral:tRNA from 1 species
CAAAUUUUAGUUUAAUAAAAAUUAUUCAUUUACAUUGAAUUGAUAUAAUUAUAAGUUUUAUAAAUUUGA